rnacentral:lncRNA from 1 species
GCAGAGCUCGUAAUUGCUGCGGGGAGGACAGGCCAGCUCUGGAAGAAAACAGGUGGACCUGGGUCCCAUUAACCUGGACAGACACCUCCAAGAUGAGCAUGAGGGGGCUGCUGGAUCUGUUCUCCUUUCACAGCUGUAUCCUGAAGAAUGGCAGUGAGCCGGAAGAGCCACAGGAUUCGGCAAAGACGGACACACAGGAGAGGCUGCUUGGAAAUGAA